GGGGUCUUGGCCUAGUAGUGGUUAAGGCAUCCGAGUAGCAUUUUUAAGAUCCUGGGUUCGACUCCCGGUGGGAGCG